rnacentral:rRNA from 1 species
GACGAACGCUGGCGGCGUGCCUAAUACAUGCAAGUCGAACGAACUCUGGUAAUGAUUGGUGCUUGCAUCAUGAAUUACAUUUGAGUGAGUGGCGAACUGGUGAGUAACACGUGGGAAACCUGCCCAGAAGCGGGGGAUAACACCUGGAAACAGAUGCUAAUACCGCAUAACAACUUGGACCGCAUGGUCCGAGUUUGAAAGAUGGCUUCGGCUGUCACUUUUGGAUGGUCCCGCGGCGUAUUAGCUAGAUGGUGAGGUAACGGCUCACCAUGGCAAUGAUACGUAGCCGACCUGAGAGGGUAAUCGGCCACAUUGGGACUGAGACACGGCCCAAACUCCUACGGGAGGCAGCAGUAGGGAAUCUUCCACAAUGGACGAAAGUCUGAUGGAGCAACGCCGCGUGAGUGAAGAAGGGUUUCGGCUCGUAAAACUCUGUUGUUAAAGAAGAACAUAUCUGAGAGUAACUGUUCAGGUAUUGACGGUAUUUAACCAGAAAGCCACGGCUCACUACGUGCCAGCCGCCGCAGUAA